AAAGCAAUAAUAUACAAUUCAAGCAUGCUUGGUGAUCUCAAACCACUCACAAGGGGUCCCACCCUAAGGCAAAGGGAACCAAGAUGCUUAUGAUCCUUGAGGCUAUGCAAAUGCAAUGUUGUGAUACCAUGAGGGAUCUUAGGGUCAAAAUUAGGGUCUUACAAUGCCUCCAUACGAUGUGUAUUCGUAUAUUGAUUAAGAUGUUUGGGAGAAAUUUGAGAGUCUCACAACACUCCUGCUUUCUUGGCAAAGAGCCAAAAAGGAAAGAAAAAUCGAGCUAGAAAUAUCUAUCCACAUAUAUUGUCUCGUGGAGGAUAUCUAAAACUUGAAAAGAAGAUGAUGGAAGAAAAAAGAAAACAAAGGGAGGAAGAGAUGAGAGGUUCUAUAAGUCUUGAUCUCACUCCAUCACCAUCAUCACUCCACGAGAUUUAGAAGAGGGCGCAUCAAAGAAAAGACGAUGAGUUCACAUCAUAUGCUACACGCAAAGUGGCUCAAAGGAUUAUAAGUACAUACUUUUUUUUAACAAUAUUUAUUUCAGUUAAAUCAAUGUGUUAAAUAUGAAAUUUCAUAUUUGUUAUAGGAUGAUUUGGUUGAACAAACCAAAGUCUGCCUCUUCACUUCACAAGACCGUCAUGACAUCUAGGUAGAAGUGAUUGGAAUCGAAGAGCAGCAUGGGCGUGUCAGUGGUCUUGGAAGAGGCGUUGGCUUCAAGAUAUUAUUUAGACCAUCUAAAUCAUCUAGAGAGAAAAUCCUCAAGAGAGAGAUAAAGAUAUUUUUGUUGUUGAGUUGGAUAAGGAAAUGGAGAAGCAGGAUAGGAAGUUGGAGGAGGAGAGGAAGAGGUUGAGGGAGAAGCAAGAAAGAAAGUUGGAGGAGGAUAGGAAGAAGUUUGAGGAGGAGAAGAAGAGGUGGAGGGAGGAGUAGGAUAGGAAGUUGGAGGAGGAUAAGGAGAGGUUGUUGUAAACGUGCGAGAGAGUGUCCAGAAGGAGCGGGAAGAGUGAGAGAGGAUGACUGAGGAGAAUGUGUCUAAGAAGUGUACCCGUGAUGUGUUUGAGGUACAUCCAUGAGUUAUGUGUUGAAAUGAAACUUCAAAACAAGUAUUGCAUCUUAGAUUUGACGCACAUUGGUCUUACUCGCGGCUCGACAGAAACAAUAUCCUUCAUUACUUAAAAGAUAAGUUGAAAGGGAGCAUCAAAGAUUGUUAUUUGGUCCCGUUUUACCGCAAUUCGCAUUGGCAACAAGUUGUUAUAUGUCCCAAGAAAAAUACUAUAGUUGUGUUUUGCUCGUUGCACUAUGAACUUCUUGAAGAAGUAGUUAACACUUUGAAUGUGUAAGUGGUAUUAUUUUUUAACUUUAGAGUUGAAUAAUUUUUAUUCAUGUUUAAUUUUAAUCGACAUGUGUAGAGCGAUGGAGGAGUAUAAUACACUCAAACAUAAUAUACUUGGUAAAAAACCAAUAUAUGCUUCCCCAAAAGUAAUUAUAUUACUUGUGUAUUUUGACA